rnacentral:rRNA from 1 species
GAGCACCAUACCCUCGGGAAACUGAGGCUAAUAGUGCAUCCCGCACUCACCCUGGAAUGGCGAGUGCGUCAAACGCUCCGGCGCCGAAGGACGUGGCUGCGGCCGAUUAGGUAGACGGUGGGGUAACGGCCCACCGUGCCGAUAAUCGGCACGGGUGGUGAGAGCCAGAACCCGGAGACGGAAUCUGAGACAAGAUUCCGGGCCCUACGGGGCGCAGCAGGCGCGAAACCUUUACACUGCACGACAGUGCGAUAAGGGGAUCCCAAGUGCGUAGGCAUAGAGCCUACGCUUUUGUACACCGUAGGGAGGUGUACGAAUAAGGGCUGGGCAAGACCGGUGCCAGCCGCCGCGGUAAUACCGGCAGCCCGAGUGAUGGCCGAUCUUAUUGGGCCUAAAGCGUCCGUAGCUGGCCGCACAAGUCCAUCGGAAAAUCCACCCGCUUAACGGGUGGGCGUCCGGUGGAAACUGUGUGGCUUGGGACCGGAAGGCGCGACGGGUACGUCCGGGGUAGGAGUGAAAUCCCGUAAUCCUGGACGGACCGCCGAUGGCGAAAGCACGUCGCGAGAACGGAUCCGACAGUGAGGGACGAAAGCUAGGGUCUCGAACCGGAUUAGAUACCCGGGUAGUCCUAGCCGUAAACGAUGCCUGUUAGGUGUGGCUCCCACUACGAGUGGGUGCUGUGCCGUAGGGAAGCCGCUAAACAGGCCGCCUGGGAAGUACGUCCGCAAGGAUGAAACUUAAAGGAAUUGG